GUCCGAUAUUGUUUUCUUGGAAAGAAAAUUUAGAGAGCAUUUGAUGUGAGAUGAUCCAUCCAAAAUCAAAGAUAAUAUGAAUGGAGAUGAUGAGAUCAUCAUAUUUGAUUACAUUAUGAUAAUUCUACGCAACAAUGAUAUCAAAUUAUCUCUAUUUUGCAAAUCAUCGUCCAUCCUAAUGAUAGGAUAUUUGUCCUUAGGAUCAGAAAUUCAAAAUCAUCCCUGAACAGUGAUC
rnacentral:lncRNA from 1 species